rnacentral:lncRNA from 1 species
CCUUUUCUUUCCAAACCAUAGCCAUAUCAUAAGAUCAUUUACACAAAGUGAGUAUUUUGCCAUACAUGCCACAUUCAAAACACACAAGCCAUUUUACCAAUUUAGGCCUUCGGAUAGUGUGAACGAGUCUUCGACCUAUCCCAAUUCUCAAGCCGACUUGUUAAAACUACAAUGAACGAAAAGGAGGGAGUAAGCAUAAAUGCUUAGUAAGUUCAUAUGCAAAUAACAAGUAACAUAACCAUACAAUUAUACCAAACAACCUUAGCAUGGUAUCACCAAAACAUAUAUCACAUUUUUAAACAUCAUUCAUCAUCUUACCACCUUAUCGUUGUUGUAUCUAUUUUCAACCCGAGGGUUAAGUACAUACCUGUCCAAAGUGUCCAUUUCACAACACUUACCAAAACGUCACUUGCAUCUUAAGUAUUCUUCCAUUUCACUAGAAAUUUUACCCGUUGAACACAUCGGAAUAUAAUUCGGAUACAUGGAUAAUUUGCACAUAAGUGCCACAUUUGUAGCCAAGCUACCCUGUAACCCGCCCAUAAGUGAACUCGGACUCAACUCAACGAGCUCAGGCGUUUGCAUCCAUAAGUGAACUCAGACUCAACUCAACGAGUUCGGAUGCCUAGUUACAUCUCACGAACUCGGACUCAACUCAACGAGUUCGGACAUUCCACAUCCAUAAGUGAACUCGGACUCAACUCAACGAGUUCGGAUGCUCAACCAUCCUAGUGACAUGUCACUUGUAUCCUAAUCUAUUCCUAAGGUUCAAACGGGAUUUUCCUCGAACACGUCUCCUUGCCAUCUUCCGUAAAAUACCGAAACCAAUACUCGGUAGCACUUUAUAUUUAACAAAUAAUACACUUAAUUUGCAUUUUAUUCGAAAAUAACCACAAAGCAUAUAUUUCAUGAUAAGAAUCAGCAUAUCCUAUAUUUAACAUCAAUAAGUUAAAAAUAACAAUUAUGCUACAUUAUUUACACAUGAACUUACCUCGGUACAAAAUUUUUAACAAUCGAGCCUAUUCCUCGUAAACUUUGUUUUUCCCCCGAUCACGACUUGAAUCUCGUUUCUCUUGAUCUAUAAUACCAAAUUAAUCUUAUUUAAUACAUACAUUCAUUAAAACAGUCCUUAAUACGAACUUUGGCAAAAUUACCAUUUUACCCAUAAACUUUUUCAUAAUUACACUUUUGCCCCUAGGCUCGGGAAUUAAACUUCAUCCCUUAUUAUUAUGUUUUAUGACAUGCUGAUAAUUUUUCCCUUCUAUGGAAACAUCAAAUUCUCACUCUAACAUGUAUUUAUGACUACUAAAUAUUUUUUUUACCGAUUAAGCCUUUUUACUCGUUUUCACUCAAAACCGAGUAGCACAAGUUGUCUAACAAAAUUUAAAACCUCAUAUUUUGUCAUAAAACACCAAAAUACACAAAUUUUACCUAUGGGUAUUUUUCCAAAUAUGAACCAUAGGUUGAAUUAUUGUUAACAUAAGCUAAAUCGAGCUACCGGGAUUUCAAAAACAUAAAAAUCAUUAAAAACAGGGCUUGAAAUCACUUACUAUGAAGUUUGAAAGUUGAAGAAACCCCAGCUAUGGAGGAGAGCAAAAAUCGGCAG